CUCGAUAAAGGCAAACCGGUCGCAAGGCCGGGGCGCAAAGCCAAGGACCGGUCGAGGCGACUCGAUCGGCAGCCUGGCUACCGAAA
rnacentral:ncRNA from 1 species